rnacentral:lncRNA from 1 species
AGCAAAUAUUCAAAGUAAAUAAACCAUGACUGAAGAAAUGAUAUGUGUAAAUGCUUAUACAAUUGGAUAAUGAACACCAAUAAAGUCUCAUUAUUGUAUAGCAAUAUAAUAUAUUGUACAGAAAGUAACCAAAAGUAAGCGUGCAAUAAAUUCUAUUAUUGCACUCAUGCAAUAACCCUAUAUUAUUCGAGGGGGCGGUUCCAAAUAAUCUCCAUGGGAAGAGAUAUGCCAAUGCUACUACAUAUGAUUGACCUACCACUAGUGCAUGGUUCUUUAUAAACUGAACUAAUCACAAACUCAUACAUGUAAACUUAAAAUAGUUUUUAAGUCAAUAGACCAUGAUUGAGGGGUUGGGCCAAAUAAUCUCCAUGGUAGAUGUUUUCGAAUAUCAAACAAAAAAAAUCAUAAACAAUAGUAGCAAACAUCCUUCAGGAUGCAUUCCUUUGACAAUUCAGUCUUGUUGAAUUCUUGUAAAUUAUCAGCAAUUGCAUACAAAUUAAUGUUUAGUUUAUAUCAUGGAAAUAAUGAAAUGUAUAGAAUCUAUCCUUAAUAAAACUGGUUUAUCUCGAAUUCUGUAUGGAUAACUCAAACUUGUAUAAAUGAAAUUUGGUUUAAAGACUAUUGUAAGAACAUUUCUCCAAGAUCAAUUUAAACAAACAUGGUACUCAGAUAUUCAAACGAACUCGAAAACAUUGAAUUAUCGCCUUUUGAGGAAGUUUUCGGAUUCGAAAAGUAUUUAGACAAUUUUAAACCCCGAGAUAUUUAUAAUUUAAGUCAAUUUAGACUCAUUAACCACAAACCUAUAGAAAGUGGAAGAUGGAAAAAAAUUCAAAGAGAUAAAUGAAUAUGUGCCUUAAAAGAUCUUGGAGAUGAAUUCCACUAAGUAAUGAAGUGUAAAUCUAUGGCUAUACAAAGAAAAAAGUAUAUUGCUAAAAAUCAUAUUGAUUAUCCAAAUAUAAUUGAAUUUUGGAAGUAAUGAAUAUGUCAAAACA